UACGGAGGAUGCAAGCGUUAUCCGGAUUUAUUGGGUUUAAAGGGUGCGUAGGCGGGAAAUAAGUCAGUGGUGAAAUCCUACAGCUUAACUGUAGAAUUGCCGUUGGUACUGUUUUUCUUGAGUAUGGUCAAGGAAGGCGGAAUGUGUAAUGUAGCGGUGAAAUGCUUAGAUAUUACACAGAACACCAAUUGCGAAGGCAGCUUUCUGGCCCAUUACUGACGCUGAGGCACGAAAGCGUGGGGAUCGAACAGGAUUAGAUACCCUGGUAGU
rnacentral:rRNA from 1 species